rnacentral:tRNA from 1 species
UUCCUGGUGGUUGAGUGGCUAAAACUCCGUGUUCUCAACACAGGGGGUCUGGGUUCGAUCCCUGGUGAGGGAA